GAAAGCUUCUCGGCGGGUUCCUCUGUUCGAAUUUUAAACCUCUUGCAGACCCAGAAGGCAACAAUAGUGCAUAUCAAAAUGAUUUGUAGACUGGUCGGCUCUUGUGCAAGCGAAGCUGAUGAGGGCGGGAAUGUUUAUGAGUGUGCACUGGACGAGCUGCCUCGGCCGGUGAUGGAGACGGCGAAGGCGACAGAUCUGAUGGGCUUUGAUUGAGUCCAAGUAGAGCUCUGAAUCUCUCCAGAAUUAAAGUGAAUUAGCAAUUACAAUCAUGAAAACGCACUUCACAACACAACCCAUUGUUCAUCAAUCAAGAUUCAUCAAACCCAAGAAGUCUGGAUUACAGAGAGGAAGAACAAGAAGAAGAAAGUCUUCAAUGCUACUCCAAGGCACCUCUGUGACGCUGGCAGUUGUUUGUUUUUGGGGAUAUGUUCAAUGAACGAAUCACCGACCCCUUUUAGGUUGUUUGGAUAAGAGGAUAAGAUGAAAAUAAGGGUCGAAACCAAGAAAUA